GUAAGUCACUCAUACAAAAUGUUCACAUAUGAAAUUAUUAUGUGGAUUGAAAAUUGCUAAAAAAUUAAGCUUAGAACUCUAUCUGGACUAACCAAGCACUAGACACAACCUCAUUUGAAAAGCACAUUGGAUUGCUGCAAAAUAGGAUUUGUCAUUUCGAGGAAAUAAUUUUUCUUUGGAAAAGCUAUUUUAUUUAUAACACUUUUCUGAGAUAUGAUUUGUUUUGUGCUAUUUGGGUGUAACACUGAAAAUCUACUAAAAAUUAUCUAGCAUUUGAAGUAGAUUGGAGAGGAAAUUAUUUUCUUUCAAUAAAGAAAACCUUGAUAUUUCUCUGACUGACCUAAAACUUGAUAUUUUUUCCAUUUCCAUUAUUAGUCGAAUAGGAGAGAAAAUACACCAAAAAGGGGUUAAUCAUGGUGUUCUCAGGCCAAUGGUGGCGACUAGCUGUGAUCAUUUCUUAGUUUGGCUUUAACCAAUAAAAUAUGCAUGUCAAAUACUGGAAAGUGAAGGAAAAUAUUUUCCACUAACUAAACAGAGCUGUAGUUGCUUAAAUUGUUACCUUGAAAUGAACCGCCCAUUAUUAAAUUUUUUAUGAUGCAUGGUUGUUGCUUUUAGUUAAUUUAUCAACCUCCUGAUGAGUUGUGCUACUUAGAGAUUGUUGAUUUG
rnacentral:misc_RNA from 1 species